ACAGGGUCAAUGUGAGGGAUAUGAUAUUCUGAUCGGCGAUUUUAUCACUCUGGAGAUUUUCCCGCCCAAUCCCGACCCAUUUCCCGCUCCUGUCGUGUUUCAUUUCACACCGGAACGAGUAGUUACAUUCCCAAACGAGACAGUGUGUGUAUGGCUAGACGAGGAAGCGAUUAACCAUGACAACAACAUCUGGAGAACGAGUGGGUGUGUCACCAUCAACGGAACGGAAUCCGGAACCAGAUGCGAAUGUGACCAUCUGACUAGCUUUAGUAUUCUUAUGAAAG